rnacentral:rRNA from 1 species
AGGAUGUGGCUGCGGCCGAUUAGGUAGAUGGUGGGGUAACGGCCCACCAUGCCGAUAAUCGGUACAGGUUGUGAGAGCAAGAGCCUGGAGACGGUAUCUGAGACAAGAUACCGGGCCCUACGGGGCGCAGCAGGCGCGAAA